rnacentral:lncRNA from 1 species
AAAAGAGUUACAGUGGAAUGAUGUGUGAAGCUCUUUCUUCUUGUCUUCCACAGUCAGCCUGGGCCUCAGCCAGACAGCAGUUGCCCAAAGAGGCCAAAAGAAGGCAUUGGAGCCCCUGGAACUGAAAUUACUGGAGGUUGUGAACUGCCAGUAUGGGUGCUGGAAAUUGGACCUGCGUCCUCUGCUACAGCGGGUCCGAGUCCUAACAGCAUACUCGUAUCCAGUUCUUCAGUUAAAAGAGAAACACAGAGAAGAAGAUGUUACCUCAUUUUUACUGAAAAUGCUGAUCCUGGAAACUGGGCUUACUCAUACAGAUAUAAACUGCCUUCUCAUUCUUUCUCCCUGGAGAAUGGCCAGGCUGGCUUCCACAGUGUGCUGGAACAGAGCAGAUACUGUUUCUGCAAAGUUAUUCGGGGGAUCAGAAGAGGCAAUCACCUUGAUAAGCAUGUGAACUCUGGAGUCAGGCUGUCUGGGUUCUAAUCUCAGUAGCUUACUAUUGCUCUCUUGUCUUUUUACCCCUGGCUGAUAAAAUACAGGCUGUUCUAGUCCU